ACCGCUCCGAGCUGCUGCAGCGCCCCCGCUCAUCGAGCGACUCGGCGCUCAGCCGCCUGGCGCUGGGCGGAGGGGGCGGGCUCAGGCCUCCGGCAUCGAGCCGCUCGGCACUCUGAGGCCUGGAGCGGGCUCAUGGGGGCGGGGCCGGGCCGCGGAGAUCGAGCCUCUCGGCGCUCCGCGUCUUGUUGCUGGGCGAAGCGGACUAGUUCAGGCAGCGGAGACACCGAGCGGGUCGAUCAGUCCGGCCAUUCUUUAACCUAGGAGAAUCCCCAGUAGACGUGAGGUUCCGAUCCAAUGGAGGAGCACGUGGAUCGUACGGGGGCUGCGUAGGGAACGCUGAGGAGAAGGCGCUCAAAGCCGGGCGCUGAAGGGGUGACUGGGGUGUCUGUCGGUUAGAAGCUGCUGCUUUGCAGACGGUCUGCGAGAGCCGGGUAGAAGUGAAAAUGCCGAUGGCAUUUUCUGAUGGAAGAGCUGUUUGACGCCGUUUACAAAAUUGGUUUGGCUUGAGGAGCAUUGGGCACCAGCACCAGACACAAAGAGUAAUUCCACCCAAGUCUACUUUGGUGAACCGAAGAGUUUAUUGGGGUUAUUUAAAGGAGCAUGGGCGACUCAGAGGCAGAAUGCAUCACCAGAAAGCCUACCAUGACAUAGGUGAUGACUCAUCAAAGUUGCAUCCCUGAAGCUCCUUGCCUAACUUGCAGAUGAUCCCACCAGAGAGCCUCCUCCUAACAGCUGUUUACUGCUUUUAUAACCCUGGGGCCCUUGUGAAUCCUGUAACUUCGAACCCUUGCAGCUUCCUCUAUAGCCUCUUAAAUCCUGUAAGUCUCUUCCUUCACAGAGGAGUGCUCCAAUUCAGAGGAGGUAGCUACUCAACAUUAUAUACCACAGCAUUCAACUGGUACCCAUGGCUUUAUCGAUAUACUUUUAGUAAGAUGGGGAGAGGGUACAGCAGGGUGCAAGUGUUUAGAAUUGCUUUGGAAAUGUCCCCUGUGCUGGAUUUCUUCCAAACUGGCGAGCAAGCUCUUGAUUAUUGACUCCUGAUGUUAUUUUCAUCUAACUUUUUGUAGUCUUUCUUUGAUUUGCACCAUAUCGACAACUUCAGAUGGCAGGCCAACAGAGAAUCCUCUUAGCUUCUCCUCUUGCUUUUUCUGUUUUAUCUUUAGGUGCUCCAGCAGAACCUUAGCCUGAUCCUGCAGUGGUAGCUGGGACCUCCUGUGGCCCAUCCGAUGUUGGAGGGGAAGCCACACACCCCAGUUUAUUCUUAAAGCACAUAGAAGCAAUCUUUCAAGCUUAGUGUCUUGUGGUGAUCCCACUUGAUGUCGAAGGCUUUAGUAUGCUGAAGAUCGAACAUUACUUUCUUGCUGAAAGUGGUAAUACUAGUUUUGGGUGGAUUUCAAAGUGAAUUGGUUAAUCUUUCAGGUAUAUGUGACAGGCAUUCUUUUAAAGUUUAAGGAUAUAAAAAUGGUAAACUGUAUACUCUCUUCCUUAUAUAGCAACUCAGUCUUACACAGCAACACAAAAAACUGCAUGUGUUAGCCUUCCGUUACUAUGAUAACAUGCCUGUGUGUGGUAGUUUGAAUGAGAAUUUCCCCCACAGACUCAGAUGUUUGAAACUUUGGUCCCCAUCUGGUGCUGCUGUUAGGGUAGGUUUAGGAGGUUUGGCCUUGCUGGAGGAAGUGUUACUGGGGAUGGGGCUGGAGGUUUCAAAAGUCACAUACCAUGUCCAGUUCGCUUUCUUUGCUUGGUGUUUGUGAUUCAAGCUUCCUGCCCCUGUCAUGCCUUUUCUCCCCCAUCAUGGACUGGAACUCUCUGGAACCAUAAGGCCAAAUAAAGUUUUUUCUUCUAUAA